rnacentral:rRNA from 1 species
AACGAACGCUGGCGGCGUGCUUAACACAUGCAAGUCGAACGGGACCUUCGGGUCUAGUGGCGGACGGGUGAGUAAUGCAUAGGUAAUCUGCCUUUAAGUGGGGGACAACACUCCGAAAGGAAUGCUAAUACCGCGUAAUGUCAUCGAUUGGAAUAUUGAUGAAGAAAAGAUUUAUCGCUUUUAGAGGAGCCUAUGUUUGAUUAGCUAGUUGGUGGGGUAAAAGCCUACCAAGGCGACGAUCAAUAGCUGGUCUGAGAGGACGAUCAGCCACACUGGGACUGAGACACGGCCCAGACUUCUACGGAAGGCAGCAGUGGGGAAUUUUCCGCAAUGGGCGCAAGCCUGACGGAGCGACGCCGCGUAUGGGAUGAAGUAUUUAGGUAUGUAAACCAUUGUCAGUGGGGACGAAACAAAUGACGGUACCCACAGAGGAAGCAUCGGCUAA